rnacentral:misc_RNA from 1 species
GGAUCAAACAGGUUAGACCAUCCCAGCUUUGAUACAAGUGAAAGCAAUACAAACAAAUGCAGAAGAACACAAUGUAAAUUUUGUUGAACUUAUACAAUGACAUCUUGUGAAACGACAGUCAGAUACAGACUCACACCUAACAGACUAAACCUCCCAACUGUUUCUAGAUUUAUCCCCAAUUAAUAAAACCCCAAAUACAAGGAUAACACUCAGCCUCACGUAAAUACAAGAGAAGUACUAUCACAUUCUGAAACCUUUCUAGCGGAACGAAGCACCACCACAUCUAAUCUUUCUUCUUAUCUUUCAGUGGUCCUCUUGGAAUUUUACUCAAAACCUUUUCAUCAAACACAGCAUAUUGCUUCUUGAUCUCGUGCAUUGCUUUCUCGGCUAAUGGAUCCACUUUAUCUUCAUAUUUCUCAUAAAUAACAGGAACGGUGUGGAGGAGCACAAAUGAUAUAUAGAACAGAGUCAAAAAGUUGCACCAGCUACCAACAAUUGAGGUGAUCCACAAACCAUCUCUGAACUAUGUCUCUGUUUCAUCCUUCAGUUGGGAUCAGGACAAUGACAAAGUGAAGAUUUAUCUAUCAUUGGAAGGAGUAGAUCAGGAGAAAACGGAGACAGAUUUCAAGCCUAUGUCUUUUGAUGCCAAGUUUCAUGAUGUAAAUGGAAAGAACUAUCGCUUCUCCUUGCCGAAAUUGAACAGAGAGAUUGUACCUGAGAAAUGUAAGGUGCUCGUGAAACCAUCAAGGGUUGUCAUCACCUUGGCCAAAGCCUCCAAAGGGAACUGGUUGGAUUUGCAUUACAAAGAGGACAAGUUCAAGCCUAGUUUGGACAAAGAAAAAGACCCCAUGGCAGGAAUAAUGGAUAUGAUGAAGAACAUGUAUGAGGACGGUGAUGAGGAAAUGAAGAAGACAAUUGCAAAAGCCUGGACUGAUGCUAGAUCUGGCAAGGCAGCUGAUCCAUUGAAACGCUACACCUGAAUGUUGAAAUAGGUCUCUUAACAGAUUUAGGGGUUUAUUCCGGGUGAGCAGCCAUUAUCGUUUUGAGUAGCUUGUAAAACUGGAUAAUCAAGGAUCUCUAUGUAGAAAUUUUACAGUAUGUUGCUUGAAUGGUCGUUUUUUGAGCCUUAACUUAGUAUAUAUAUGCAGCUGGUGUCAAGUAAUUGUCUUUGAACCUUGUUUUGAUAAGCUUCAUUGUUGAAUGUGAUUCCCAAG